AGCAAGGAGAAGCAUCGGAUUACACCACACACAGAGGGAGAGGGACUUCAUUCUCUGCUCAGACAACUCAAAAACUCAAAGAUUUCCUCCUGAAGAAAAUGUUCAAUGAAACACCACUCAAAGACGGAGUUGCUACUUGUGAACUCGAGGCAAAUCCAUAUACCCCGACUUCACGAUGAAGCAGUCUGACGUCACACAACACCAACAGCACCGUUGGAAGUGCACCUUGUAAAUGGUCAACCAUCAACUAAAACGCAACGCUAUGCAAGGAUGCUGCACUGCUGAGAGUCCAAUUGUGUGUACACUUGCCAAAGAAACAUCAGUUUGUAUCGGAGUAAAGAGCAGCCUAGGUGAAGAUCUGGAUGGAUGUGAUGUGGAGCGGGACUGAUGAGCUCACUGAGGACGCAUUGGACUGCUGGUUCUGAAGAAACUGGAGGCGGAGGGGCGGAGCAGCCAGUACCCCCUCAGUGUUGGCGGGAUCCUCAGCUGAUCGCCGCAGCAAUGUUGUGUGAAGCUGCCGUGACAUCAUCUUCAACACCACACUCACUGGAUCCUUUCAUCGGCAACCAAUCAGAGGAACAUCUCUACUUUGUCCAUGGUAUGGCAUAAUGUAACGUUAUGCUGUGUAUGUCGUAGUUUUACAGGCAGAUAUCUUACAAAAUGUUAUUCCUCAUUUUUCAUUCGUUUUCCUUUGACACGUGACGCAUGCGUCAAUUUCUGCUGCAGUCUUUCAAAAUAAACUUCAAUCUUCCCAGGAAGCACCUUUG